rnacentral:rRNA from 1 species
UACGUAGGUGGCAAGCGUUGUCCGGAAUUAUUGGGCGUAAAGCGCGCGCAGGCGGUCCUUUAAGUCUGAUGUGAAAGCCCACGGCUCAACCGUGGAGGGUCAUUGGAAACUGGGGGACUUGAGUGCAGAAGAGGAAAGCGGAAUUCCACGUGUAGCGGUGAAAUGCGUAGAGAUGUGGAGGAACACCAGUGGCGAAGGCGGCGACCUGGUCCGAUACUGACGCUGAGGCGCGAAAGCGUGGGGAGCAAACAGG